CAUACCAUCUCUCUGUGAACCCAUACCCCUAUAUACCACAUCCACCAAACCUCUGCAAAUCUACCAUUUCUCUUUCCCAUUUCACAUUCGAGUACUAUUUGCUUUCCUUGUUGUCCAUAUCCCGUUGAGAUACUUUUGAAGCUAUAACUAGGUUUACUGCUUUUUACAAGAGAAUCGGGUAUGAGAGGUCAAUCUUUGAAUCAUGUUGAGACAAUCCAAGGAGUUAAUUACAACAAGCAAUGGAUGAAAAGAAAUGUGAAAUUUUUGGAGUGAAGUAUAGGUUGCCGUAUGAAAUCAUUCGAAGACUCCCUUAAUUGCAGCAUGUAUGUGACGUCAAUGGAGUGGUUGGUGAUGAUGAAAUCCGUAUAUUUUGCUUUGUCAUUUGGUACUCAUAAAGUUGCGGCAACAAGAGAGGAGCGAGUUUGUUGUUGUGACCAUCUCCCGGUUCUGUAUCGGAGGUACUAACGGAACUGCCGCAGAAGCUACACAGAAAAUAUUAAUAUCCAGUUUAACAUGUUGGAUGCGCGCCGGAGGAGAAUAUAGAGAUUGGUCGUACUGCGAAAAGUGGAAAUGUGAAGCGAUAUCGUUGAUCUUGCUGGAGUUAGUAAUGCACUAAUAGAGGCUAAGAAGUAGAAGGCAAUGAAGAGUAAAAAGAGAAACUUGUGCAAUCCAUUGGCCCACUCUUCCACAAGACAUUUGCACCGUUGAGAACAUCAAUCUCGUAUCCCUGCUUAGCACCAAACAUUACCUCCUCCCCAAACAUCAAACCGGAUGGUAUUUGGAACACCCUAGCAAGCUUCUAAUUUUCUCCCCAAAUCAACUUCACGACCAGAAAUCCAACUCAAUUCUUAUCUUCUCCUUCACCACCUCUGUGUACUCUUUCCCAUACCAUCUCUCUGUGAACCCAUACCCUAUAUACCACAUCCACCAAACCUCUGCAAAUCUACCAUUUCUCUUUCCCAUUUCACAUUCGAGUACUAUUUGCUUUCCUUGUUGUCCAUAUCCCCUUGAGAUACUUUUGAAGCUAGAACUAGGUUUACUGCUUUUGACAAGAGAAUCGGGUAUGAGAGGUCAAUAUUUGAAUCAUGUUGAGACAAUCCAAGGAGUUAAUUACAACAAGCAAUGGAUGAAAAGAAAUGUGAAAUUGUUGGAGUGAAGUAUAGGUUGUCGUAUGAAAUCAUUCGAAGACUCCCUUAAUUGCACCAUGUAUGUGACGUCAAUGGAGUGGUUGGUGAUGAUGAAAUCCGUAUAUUUUGCUUUGUCAUUUGGUGUGUGAUGGAUAUCUCAAUCCCUAAUUUUCUGAUUGUACUUUAUUGAAAUUGGGUUUAAGAAUUGGGAGAAUUUUGUAUAAAUAGGGUUGCAGUUUUAUUUUGAAGGCAUGCCCGGAGUAGCCGGUGCACCAAGCCUUAGUAAUAAUUUAGGUUUAAUUUCAGUUUCUUCAUGUUUUAGUUUUCUAACUAGGGUUGAGAUGAAACCCCUAAAUAAUUAGAAUUGCUUGAUUUUGUUCUACUUGUUCUCCAUGAAUUUAUA